UCCUCCUAUCUGAACGGGGAUUUUAUCAGCGUACCAGAGAGGUUCAGAAAAAUGAAUUUUGUGGGUGUUGGAGUAUUGAAGUCUUGAACUCAUGGUAAACCUACGCUAUAUGUGUAUCUGCUUUUUUCUUUUGUUGAGGUUAGACACCUAGACAAUCCCUUAACUAAACUGGGUCAGGAAAUAACAAUCAGUAGCAUAAAGCAUUUCGUUUAUUCAUAAUUCAUGAAAUAAAAUCCCGAAAAAACCAUUUCGUUUUAGAUCUUUUUAUUAGAAUCUUCUCGAUCUUCCUCUUUCUGAUCAAAGGACCCUUUCGACUGCUUCCCUAUUAAAACCUGAGACGCCAAGGACGCAUUUAAAAGAUAGGAACUUCCUUGUUCAUUGUGGUAGAAUCGAUAAGAAUUUGGAUAUGCAACAAAGGGUUGGUAAAAUAAUGUCAUGAUGAGCGUCAAGUCCAACAAAGCAGUAGAGGCACAAGGAAACCAUGAAACUGGUGGUGAUCAUGAUAACCGGCUGUCUAAAAUCCGUAGAACCUCCUCAUCCUGCAUUACAAACCUUCCUGAUGACUGUCUAAAUCUUAUAUUUAAGCGUCUAACAACUAAAGAUGAUCGUGAUUCCUUUGGUUUGACAUGUCGUCAAUGGCUUCAUAUUCAGAACAAUAAUCAUGAAUCCUUAUGGUUAUGGUAUCGUUGUUAUCACAAUUACCCAGGUUACGUAUUCCCAAAAUUUAGUCCCGAAUGCUUUCCCAAAAUUCUUUGUAGGUUGUUCACUCGAUUCCAAAACCUCGAAGCUUUGUCUCUAAGGUAUCUCCCGGAGAUAACAGAUGUUGAAAUGUUACGGUCACAAUUCUCCGGUUCAAAAAUUCAAUAUUUGUGCUUAGAUCGUUGCUCCAAGUAUUCAGAUACCGAAUUGUCUUUGAUGUUUUCUUCGUUCCCCCGCUUGACAACUGUAUGUCUUAUGGAAUGUGGUAUUAGUGAUAGAGGUUUAGAAGCCCUGGCGAAAUGUUGUUCAUCCUUGAAGAUAGUUAACCUCGAACUGUGUUGCUCAAUUACUGAUUCAGGAAUAAGUUUUCUCAUACAAAAUUGUCCGAAACUGCACUCACUUUAUGUACCCUGUUGCAGCAAUAUAAAUAUCAGGGUGUAGCUUGUUUUUAGUAUUAUGCCGGAUGAUUAUCGUCUGCAAAUUUGUGGUUAAAUUUGCUUAAUGGAUUCUAGUACUGUAACUGUGAGUAAGCGGAAUUUACUUGUAUGCACACUACACGACUAUAACUUUUGAGAUUUGGAGAUCAAUAACAUUAGUAUGUUUUCGUA